AUUGAACGCUGGCGGAAUGCUUUACACAUGCAAGUCGAACGGCAGCACGGACUUCGGUCUGGUGGCGAGUGGCGAACGGGUGAGUAAUGUAUCGGAACGUGCCCAGUCGUGGGGGAUAACGUAGUGAAAAUUACGCUAAUACCGCAUACGAUCUAUGGAUGAAAGCGGGGGAUCGCAAGACCGCGCGCGAUUGGAGCGGCCGAUAUCAGAUUAGGUAGUUGGUGGGGUAAAGGCCCACCAAGCCAACGAUCUGUAGCUGGUCUGAGAGGACGACCAGCAACACUGGAACUGAGACACGGUCCAGACUCCUACGGGAGGCAGCAGUGGGGAAUUUUGGACAAUGGGCGAAAGCCUGAUCCAGCCAUUCCGCGUGCAGGAUGAAGGCCCUCGGGUUGUAAACUGCUUUUGUACAGAACGAAAAGGUUUCUACUAAUACUAGGAGCUCAUGACGGUACUGUAAGAAUAAGCACCGGCUAACUACGUGCCAGCCGCCGCAGUAA
rnacentral:rRNA from 1 species